CUUCUGCAGUUAGAGCUAUGAACGUUUAGACCUUCAGCCCAGAGACAUUAGGUUAGACGAACUAGGUACCAAUGUCUGACUAUGGGAGUGUGUAGGGGGUCACCUGAAAUGAAUGGAAUUGGGAA